rnacentral:rRNA from 1 species
GUGGUUUAAUUCGAUGAUACGCGAGGAACUUACCCGGGCUUGAAUGCAUCUGACGUAGGCAGAGACGUCUAUUCCCUUCGGGGCAGAUGUGUAGGUGCUGCAUGGUUGUCGUCAGCUCGUGCCGUGAGGUGUCGGCUUAAGUGCCAUAACGAGCGCAACCCUCAUCAUUAGUUACCAACAGGUCAAGCUGGGGACUCUAGUGAGACUGCCAUCGUAAGAUGUGAGGAAAGGUGGGGAUGACGUCAAAUCAGCACGGCCCUUACGUCCGGGGCGACACACGUGCUACAAUGGGUGGUACAAAGAGCAGCGACCUCGCGAGUGGAAGCAAAUCUCAAAAAGCCAUCCUAAGUUCGGAUUGGAGUCUGCAACUCGACUCCAUGAAGUCGGAAUCGCUAGUAAUCGCGGAUCAGCCAUGCCGCGGUGAAUACGUUCCCGGGCCUU